rnacentral:rRNA from 1 species
GAUGAACGCUGGCGGCGUGCCUAAUACAUGCAAGUCGAGCGAACGGACGAGAACCUUUCUUCUCUGAUGUUAACCGCGGAAGUGAGAGUAACACGUGGAUAACCUACCUAUAAGACUGGGAUAAAUUCGGGUAACCGGAGCUAAUACCGGCUAAUAUUUAAAGCCGCAUAGUUCAAAAGUAAAAGACGGCUUUGCUGUUUCUUAUGGAUGGAUCCACGCUGCAUUGGCGAGUUGGUAAGGUAAAGGCUUACCAAGGCAACGAUGCGUAGCCGACCUGAGAGGAUGAUCAGCCACACUGGAACUGAGACACGGCCCAGACUCCUACGGGAGGCAGCAGUGGGGAAUUUUGCACAAUGGGCGCAAGCCUGACGGAGCAACGCCGCGUGAGUGAAGAAGGUCUUCGGAUCGUAAACCUCUGUUAUUAGGGAAGAACAUAUGUGGAAGUAACUGUGCAGAUCUUGACGGUACCUAAUCAGAAAGCCACGGCUAACUACGUG